rnacentral:rRNA from 1 species
CUUGACACUGAACAUUGAGCCUUGAUGUGUAGGAUAGGUGGGAGGCUUUGAAGCGUGGACGCCAGUCUGCGUGGAGCCGACCUUGAAAUACCACCCUUUAAUGUUUGAUGUUCUAACGUUGGCCCCUUACCGGGGUUGCGGACAGUGUCUGGUGGGUAGUUUGACUGGGGCGGUCUCCUCCCAAAGGUUGACGGGGGGGCACGAAG